UGAGUAGGGCCGGGCGCGUGAAACCCGGUCCGAACCUGGGUGGACCACCAUCCAAGCCUGAGUACUACCCUGUGACCGAUAGCGCACCAGUACCGUGAGGGAAAGGUGAAAAGCACCCCGGGAGGGGAGUGAAACAGUACCUGAAACCGUGCGCCCACGAGCAGUCGGAGCACCCUUGUGGUGUGACGGCGUGCCUUUUGUAGAAUGAGCCAGCGAGUCGCUGGCGCGGGGCGAGGUUAACCGAAAGGGAGCCGGAGCGAAAGCGAGCCUUAACAGGGCGACUUGAGUCCCGCGCCGCGGACGCGAAGCCGGGUGAGCUAUCCGUGGGCAGGCUGAAGCGGGGGUAAGACCCCGUGGAGGGCCGAACGCACGUCGGUUGAAAACGGCGGCGAUGACCUGCGGAUAGGGGUGAAAGGCCAAUCAAACCCGGAGAUAUCUCGUUCUCCCCGAAAUAGCUUUAGGGCUAGCGUCGCGCGUUCACCGCCGGAGGUAGAGCACCGGAUGGACGAGGGGGCUUCGCCGCCUACCGAAUCCAACCGAACUCCGAAUGCCGGCGGCCCAGAGCGCGGCAGUCAGAGCAUGUGGGCUAAGCUGUGUGCUCGAGAGGGAAACAGCCCGGACCGCCCGCUAAGGUCCCCAAGUUCCAGCCGAGUGGCAAAGGAUGUGCGUCCGCCCAGACAACCAGGAUGUUGGCUUAGAAGCAGCCAUGCAUUCAAAGAGUGCGUAACAGCUCACUGGUCGAGUGGACAUGCGCCGACAAUUCACGGGGCUAAGCGAUGCGCCGAAGCGGCGGAAUGUAUUAAACAUUGGUAGGGGAGCUUCCCCUGCGCGGCGAAGCCGGAGGGCGACCGACGGUGGAGCGCAGGGGAGUGAGGAUGCUGGCAUGAGUAACGAGAGCGGCGCGGGAAACGCCGCCGCCGUAAGCCCAAGGUUUCCUGGGCAAGGCUAAUCCUCCCAGGGUCAGUCGGGAGCUAAGGCGAGGCCGGAAGGCGUAGCCGAUGCGCAACAGGCGGACAUUCCUGUACCGCCUCGGGACCGCUACGACCGAAGGGGCGACGGAGAAGGGUACGCAGGCGGGGUUCUGGACGCCCCCGUGAAAGCAUGUAGGCCGCAGGGCAGGCAAAUCCGCCCUGCAGAUAAGGCCGAGACGCGAGACGAAGCCGCAAGGCGAAGCUGCGGAGCCCACGCUCCCUGGAAAAACCCCUAGGCAGGGCCCGAGGCGCCCGUACCAAAACCGACACAGGUGGGCGGGUAGAGCAUACCGAGGCGAUCGGGGGAACCAUGGUCAAGGAACUCGGCAUAAUCGCUCCGUAACUUCGGGAGAAGGAGUGCCGCUGCAGGUGGAGGGACGACGCUCCCCGAGCCCGCGGCGGCCGCAGCGAAACGGCCCAAGCGACUGUUUACCAAAAACACAGGACUCUGCCAACCCGCGAGGGGAAGUAUAGGGUCUGACGCCUGCCCGGUGCCGGAAGGUCACGCGGAGGAGUUAGCCAUUUCGGCGAAGCCCCGAAGCCAAGCCCCGGUAAACGGCGGCCGUAACUAUAACGGUCCUAAGGUAGCGAAAUUCCUUGUCGGGUAAGUUCCGACCUGCACGAAAGGCGCAACGACUUGGGCGCUGUCUCGACCAUGGACCCGGUGAAAUUGCACUGGUCGUGAAGAUGCGACUUACCCGCGGAAGGACGGAAAGACCCCGUGAACCUUCACUGCAGCUUGGCAUUGGCCGCUGGUCCCGCGUGUAGAGGAUAGGCAGGAGGCACAGAUCCGGAGGCGCCAGCCCCCGGGGAGCCGCCCUUGGAAUACUGCCCUCGCGCGACCGGCGUCCUAACCCGAGGCCGUCAACCGGCUCGGGGACCGUGCCAGGCGGGCAGUUUGACUGGGGCGGUCGCCUCCUAAAGGGUAACGGAGGCGCGCGAAGGUCCGCUCGGGACGGUCGGCAACCGUCCUUUUGAAUGCAAGAGUACAAGCGGGCUUGACUGCGAGGCCCACAAGCCGAGCAGGUGCGAAAGCAGGCUCUAGUGAUCCGGCGGCCCCGAGUGGGUGGGCCGUCGCUCAACGGAUAAAAGGUACUCCGGGGAUAACAGGCUGAUCUUGCCCAAGAGUCCACAUCGACGGCAAGGUUUGGCACCUCGAUGUCGGCUCAUCGCAUCCUGGGGCUGAAGUCGGUCCCAAGGGUAUGGCUGUUCGCCAUUUAAAG
rnacentral:rRNA from 1 species